rnacentral:lncRNA from 1 species
AGAAAAGAACAUUCCUCCAUGGCCUCUGCAUCAGCUCCUGCUUUCUGACCUGCUUGAGUUCUAGUCCUGCAUCCUUUGGUGAUCAACAGCAGUAUGGAAAUGUAAGCCGAAUAAGCCCUUUCCUCCCCAACUUGCUUCUUGGUCAUGAUGUUUGUGCAGGAAUAGAAACCCUGACUAAGACAAAUUGGUACCAGCAGAGUGGGGUAUUCCUGUGACAACCUGACCAUGUUUUGGGGAGGACUGUGGAAGGACUUUGGAACUUUGGGCUUGAAGAUCCAUCCGUUGUUAAGAGGUCUGUCGGAUGUUGUGUAGGAGCUUGGAAGAUAAUGUUGAGAACACUGCAGAAGAUGGAGGUCUGGUUUGUGAAAUUUCAGAGGCAAAAUUAAAGACUCUUUUCGGGGCCAUUGCUGUUUUGAUUGUGAAGUUUCUGUAGUUCUGGUUAGCUGGGGCUGAUGAAUCAGCUGUGAUUAACAAGAUACCAGAACUACCAAAGCAAAAACUUUGCAUUACUGGGACUAUUGAUGCUGGUUAGCUGGAGCUAAGAAAUUAGCGGGGAUUAAGAAGAGACCAGCAUCAUUGAGGUGACAUCUUCUGGGAAGUGUUUUCUGAAAGCACAAAGAGGCUGUGUUCCAGAGAUGGCCAAGGUUGUACUCCUGCUGCAGCGGGACUUGGUAAUAUGUAAGGGUCACCCAGGUGGUACUGGAUUUGAAGGCAUGAAGGGGUCAUGCAAAGCAGCUGAGGCUCGGCACGGUGAGAGGCCAUGGAAGGCCAUUGGUGAAGGUGCAACCUUGGUUGCAAUUAAAGACCCAGGAUUGAAGGGGUCAUGCAGUGUUUUGGAGAUGCCAGUACCAUGAGAUGACCACCAAGAGCAGCAGCAGCAGUGGAGUACAGGCAUCUGGAGCCUAGAGGACGACGCAUGUGCUACAAAGGGCCUGGCUGGAGAAGUGACCCAAGCCCUUGGAGGAGCCCAGAAGAUCGUGAGUUGGAUCCCAGACAUUGGACGGUUGGAGAUUGACUUUUGCUUUUGAUUGUGACUGUGCCCUGAUAUUUUCCCUCUUGAAGGAAGAAACUGUUUUAGUGGAGCCCACAGUUAAGAGACUUUUAAUUGUAAAAAGACUUUGGAUUUUAAAAGAGAUGGAUAUUUUUAAGAAUAUGUAAAGACUGUGGGACUUUUAAAGUUAUUUAGAUCUUGGGGAUGAAUAAGAUUGUAAGGGUUGAGGCUUACUAGUGAUGGUUUUGUGUGUCAAGUUGACAAGGGGUCAAUUGUACUGGCUAGUUUUGUGUCAACUUGACACAGCUGGACUUAUCACAGAGAAAGGAGCUUCAAUUGAGGAAAUGCCUCCAUGAGAUCUAACUGUAAGGCAUUUUCUCAAUUAGUGAUCAAGGGGGAAAGGCCCCUUGUGGGUGGGACCAUCUCUGGGCUGGUAGUCUUGGGUUCUAUAAGAGAGCAGGCUGAGCAAGCCAGAAAAGAACAUUCCUCCAUGGCCUCUGCAUCAGCUCCUGCUUUCUGACCUGCUUGAGUUCUAGUCCUGCAUCCUUUGGUGAUCAACAGCAGUAUGGAAAUGUAAGCCGAAUAAGCCCUUUCUUCCCCAACUUGCUUCUUGGUCAUGAUGUUUGUGCAGGAAUUGAAACCCUGACUAAGACAGAGUGAUACAUAUAUUUUAAAGCAGAAGGGUAAAGAGAAAGAGUCAGCAAGCCUAGCAUGCUAGAUCAGUUGUCUGAGCUGCCUGGGAGGCAGAGAGAGCUCAGGGUGGUAGGCUUCAACUUUGGAGACUGAGAUGAAGUUCAAGUGGAAUUUGCUCAACAGUAGUUAUUCAGCUAAUCUGGGUUGCUAGGAGAAUUGGAGGGUUUUGUUUCACUUCAAUGGGAGAAAAAAGAAGCCCAUGUUGGUUACACAGUUGGGAUAGCCUCAGCAUUGCAUCGACAGGGUGGGUGUAUGGUUUGGCUUUCAGUGCUGGACAGCCCCUCCCAUCUCCUCAUCUCUCAUUUUCUCUAGCCUCUAACACAUCCUAUGCUCUUAAGUGUACUCCUCCGAAGCAGAAAGGCCUUGUUUUGCCCCAGUAUCAUCUUGGUGUUGCUAGCAAUGGCAGCAAACCCCUGAAGACAGAAAGCAAAGUGAUUUGGAGGUGGUUGGUUUGUUUGUCCCAAAAGGAUUGAACAGUGCUGGGCUGUUGAGUCUUUGGGAAAUAUGGCAAUGACUAUUAUUUUAUUUUAUUUUCUAGAUAUAAGGGGAAAAAAGAAUAAGAGUUGGUCAGAUUUGGGCAUAAACAGAAAGUGAUUUGUUUUAACUUUUAAAUGUUUCUCAAUAUAUUGUGAAGAUUUUAAUUAUAAGAAAGUGCUUGGGUGGCAAAGGGGAGUAGAGAAAGAGAGGUUUUCUUAUAGCUGCGGUCUCUCUCUCUCUCUAGCUAGAUCUGGUUAUUGAUCACGUGACAUUGUUUAGAAGUGGUAAAGGAUACAAGAAAACAAAGAGGGUUCUGGAACCCCCUCUCCUGCCCGGGUUUGCUGCUCUCCAUUGGUAACGAAAGGGUGAAUCAUGUUGUUGGUCUGAUUGGUCUUGGGGAUUAUGACAUUUUCGGUGCAUAAUUUGCAUGUGGAUAGCUUCUCACUUCUGCUUCCUUGUGCUCUGCUGUCAAUUCAUAAUUCCCUUGUGACACUCAUUUGGCUGGACUUGAAAGAAUCUCAUAGAAAUGAGGAAGAAAAAGAAAUCAUGUUAAAAAGGUGGCGUUUCACCACACAAAGAAUCGAUCUACGUAAGGAAACAAAAUACUGAAGAGUCUUAGGUAUUUUCUCCUCUUGGAAGGCUAUAGUUAUAAUGUGUCAGUUUCAAAUAUUGGGCAAUACUAUGCCAUAACUACUCCCUGGGCAGGCUUGUGGAGCAGAGAGCUUCUAGCUGACUCCUCAUCUCCAGGCUAGGAAUUCCCAUGACUGUGUCAAGGUUUUUUUUUUUUUUCAUGGGUUUCGAGAUGAAAUUUUGGUCCCUGUGCUUGCUUGAGCCUCCCUAGUCCCCAUUAACUCCUUGUUUUCUCAUCAAGCUCUGUGACCAGUUUUGGAUAAAUAGUCAUUUUUUUUCCUAGUUAGAGCACCCCUCAGAUCAUAGCACCUUCCCUGCCAGUCUUUGAGGUAACCAUAUAAGAACCCCCCCAAAAGCACUUACUAUGUAAUUAAUAUCUACCACGGCCAGCAUUCCAUUUAUAUUUUUGCCUUCACUUAGGAUAGACGUUGUUAUUCCCAUGAUCAGAUGAAGAAUUGGGUAAGACUGAGCAGGCACACUGGGCAGCACUGGCCAUCUCCUCAGGCUUCUCCAACAAAAAUUUCAGGCAGUUGAAGGGAUAUUCACCCAGGAGCAGUUAGUGCUUGGCUCUUUUGUUGACAUCACAAAAUAAAAUAGAUGCACUGUCGAAUUUCUUUGGAUUUCCUGGAUCAUGAAACUGUUGUUGACAGUUAUUAAUGGCCCAAAGAGGCACUUGUGACCUGCCAUCCCUGAUUGCCCUGAAUGUUCCAUACUUAAUAAUAUAUUUAGAUUAAUUUAGGUUUUAUUCCAAGCCUGGAAAGUCCCCCUAGGAACACGUUAUAUGGAUUUCUCUGAAACAGCCUUUGAGUGUGGAAAUUGCGGGGCAGAAAACAUUUACUCAGUCCCACCUUCCAGGCAAGCACUUGUUUCAAGAGUCAGCCUCUUUUAUUAAGACCUUGGAAAACUACCAGAGUGGUUACCCCCUGAAGUUUCUUAUCAAGAUCAGACCAGAAUGCACAUAUCAUGUCUACCAAAGAAAUUCCUCUAUAUCUCUACAUAUGCACAAGUACACAUUAAUACAGUUUCUCCCUGUACAUAGCAUUGGUCAACAUUUCAACAUCUUAGACUUUUCUGGCAGAGGGAAACAUCUUUAUUUUAGGAGACAUAGGCAGACACCUUCAUUCUACUUAAAAGUGGGGGCUGGUCCCCACCAAGAUCAAGACAUAUUAAGAAAUUUGAGACAUUCAGCCUGCUCCCCAUCGUUGGCAAGGGGAGGCUGAUUGGUCAUCCCCAAGAGGUGAUGAUUCUAUGAAUAUUCAUGAGCUAGGGUUGGGAGAGUCUGGGUGUUGAGCAUGUCAUAGGAAGCCUGCCUGACAUGGACUCUUGAAGCCCCUUCCCAUAUACCUCUGUGUCUCAGCACUGGCCUGCGUAUGUGUCCGUUGUCAUCCUCUAUCGUAUGAGAUCUCACUGAAAAGUUCUCCUGUGUUCUGAAGUUAUCCUAGCAAAGUAUAGAAUAUGAGAAGUUGUAGGGUCCUUGACUUGGGGCAGAGGAGGGUGACAACCUUGCUCUGGAAGUUGGCAUUUGCAGCAGAGAAGGCUGCUUUUGAGACCAAGCCCUCUGAUUAUGGAGUCAUUAUUAACAUUUGUCAGUGUCAGAACUGAACUGAAUUGUAGAACACCCAGCUGGCGUCUGAGAAAUCCUUGCAGUAGGAUGAACAUCUCCAUGCAUCUGGUCACACUGGAUAUGGACACGCAGAACAAAACAAAAACAAAACAAACUAUUUUACACAUGCAUCUAACUUUGUCAAAAUAAAAUAGAGCCAACUCUGCAAAUAGAAAUUUAAGUAUGUAAGGGAUGCUUAGGAUAAAAUUUCCAUGCUGACAUUAUUAUAAGUGAUACCUUUCUUUGGAGAAUUUAAAUACAGUUAAAAGAUAAGCUCCUACUGGACUUCACAAACACUCCUUUGUCUGUGGGUAGUUUUCCUUUUAAAACACUCUGUGCUGCCUGGUAAAGCCUGGCUACUCACUGUGGAAACCAUAGUGAAAUCAGAGCCAAAAAACCCAGAGAAGACAUGUGCUGUCUGUAGGUUAUUGUUUAACCUAUCUUAAGUGCAUGAGAUUAACUUCUGGAUUGCAACUCAGUGACAUGGUCUCAGAGAGAUUUCACAUUCAGUUAAUAUACUGGGAAAUAUGUGGCAAGCCGGGUGCCAGAUGGCUUUCUCUACCAAACAGGGAUUUAGUUUGAAGAGACUUCAUGGAAAUUGCAUAACAAACCCAGGCUGUUAGCAUUUGGUUGAAUAGGUAGAUCUUAUUUAUUUUAAUUUCUUAGCUGCAUUGAGAUAUGAUUGGCAAAUAAAAGCUGUAUCUUUUAAAGAAAGAUAUUGUGGUGAUAUGAUGAAUUCAUUUAUUGUUGAAUGAGCCCUGAAAUCAUGUCACUUGGUCACUUGGCAUAUCACUUUAUAUGAGCUAUCAUUUUUUUUUUUUUGACUAUGGGCAGAACAUUUAUAACCAACAAAUGUGCACAGCAAUGUCACUCGUGAUUUCAAUCCAGAUAGUCACCCACAAGCUCAUGUUUUAAGGCUAUAAUUUGUGAGGUUAUUUUGCUAAUUAUCAAUUUUUAAAUAUUUAAUGUGCAUAUGCACAUGUGAGGUGCAUAUGUUUGCAUGUGUGUGAGAGUGAAAGUAUUCACCCAUGCAGGCAUGUUUAGAAGCCAGAGGUGGAUGUGAUGUGUCUUCCUCUAUCACUCUCUGCUUUAGUUUUUGAGACAUGCCCUCUCACUGAACCUAGAACUUGCCAUUUUGGGUAGACCAGUUGGCUAAUGCUUUGUCUUUACCCUUCUUUGUUCCUUCAACACUGGGGUUUUGUGACUCCGUAUCUGGCUUUCACAUGAGUGUUGCGGUUUGGACCAGGCACUCACUUAGACUUGCCCAGCAAGUACUUUGCCCACUGAACCAUCUCUCUUCCAGUACUAGUUUAAAGGUACUGCAGCUUUUGGCUGGUUGAAGUAGGUCAUUAAAACCUUGCCUUUGAAGUUUAUGACUGCACAAAUGUGUUCUCUCAAUUUUGGCAGCUCAAAGAAACGACAGUUUGGUUUCUAUAGCAAAUAGCCCAACAUUACAAGGCAGCAGACAGGCAAAACCCCCUUUUCUGGAGCAGCUCUCCCCCUCCCCCAGUAUAGCCAUGUGUUUCCCAUCAGAAUGGACUGAACAUUCUCUGAUUCUAUCACCCACAUACACUCCCUUAAUUUGCUUCUAUUGACUAUUGUGUCACAGUAAUAAAAAAAAGUAGCUAAUACAGUUGCCAUGUUGUAUCUCUGUGUGCAAGUUUAUAUAUAUAUAUAUAUAUAUAUAUAUAUAUAUAUAUAUAUAUAUAUAUAUCCUUUGACCCACAUCCCAUCACCUCCCCCUGCCCAGCUGUGUAUAAUAACCAUUUUGCUUUCUAUAAAGGAUUCUUGUGCUCAUUGCUCUGUGUGGGAGUUCUGCUGUGGUUUCCCUGUGCAAACUGACAUGGGCAAAUUGUAUAGAACAGCUCAACCCCAAAAGUCUCCCCUGGGUGUCAUAUCUUUUAUUCACUGUCCCAUGCAUUGAACGAAAUAAUUUCAGUACUCAUCUAGCUGCAUCAGCCCAUAACCCUAAGUGGUGCUUAAAGUGAAAGGACUUUUUUGUUUGUUUGUUUGUUUGUAGAACAGGAUUUUAAUAUUUUCAACUGUUAAUAUUCAACAAAUAAUAAUUAUUUUAAGGUAUAUUUUA